CGCUCUUCAUCAGACGUCUCUUGACCAUAGACAUUGGGGUCCUCAACUGAUCCACAUUCGUCACCUCUAUUUUUUUUUAUCCUCUGGUGUCACGUUCACCCCCACAGGACCAUGCAUCGGCAUGGGGUUAGCAUCAACAUUCGGUGUCGGUGCAAAAUUGAUGGCUUUAGAAUCCACCAAAUCUUGAACGACAUGCUUAAAAGCUC
rnacentral:lncRNA from 1 species